rnacentral:tRNA from 1 species
GGGGUGUUAGCUCAGCUGGGAGAGCGCUAGAAUCGCACUCUAGAGGUCAGGGGUUCGAUCCCCCUACACUCCA